rnacentral:rRNA from 1 species
CCUACGGGAGGCAGCAGUGAGGAAUUUUGGUCAAUGGACGAGAGUCUGAACCAGCCAAGUAGCGUGAAGGAUGACUGCCCUAUGGGUUGUAAACUUCUUUUAUAUGGGAAUAAAAUGUUCCACGUGUGGCAUUUUGUAUGUACCAUAUGAAUAAGGAUCGGCUAACUCCGUGCCAGCAGCCGCGGUAAUACGGAGGAUCCGAGCGUUAUCCGGAUUUAUUGGGUUUAAAGGGAGCGUAGGUGGAUUGUUAAGUCAGUUGUGACAGUUUGCGGCUCAACCGUAAAAUUGCAGUUGAAACUGGCAGUCUUGAGUACAGUAGAGGUGGGCGGAAUUCGUGGUGUAGCGGUGAAAUGCUUAGAUAUCACGAAGAACUCCGAUUGCGAAGGCAGCUCACUGGACUGCAACUGACACUGAGGCUCGAAAGUGUGGGUAUCAAACAGGAUUAGAUACCCCAGUAGUC